UUAAAAACAUACGUACCCACUUACAUUUUCUUCUAUAAUCUAUCUUCUUUAUAAAUAUGAAGCUGUUUCAAGCUUACCUGCUUUUACUCCUUUUCAUUUCGCUAACAACACCACCUGCACUUGCAAAGCAUGCCAAACCAGGGUGUAUUGAUAUGUGCGGGAAUGUGAUCAUUCCAUACCCUUUUGGAAUUGGCACCGGUUGUUCUAUCAAUCCAUGGUACAUGGUUGAUUGCAAAAACUCAACGCCAUAUCUAUCUGUACUCAAGCAACUCGAAGUCUUGCAGGUAGACUUGGAAUAUCAAACGGUCACUGUUAAUACACCGACGAUGAUCUCCUAUUGCCAAAAUCCAGUUAGGAAUAGCAGUCACACGAUGAGCAUCGAUCUUGGUGGGAGCCCCUUCUGGUUUUCCAAAUCACACAAUAAGUUUGUUUUUGAGGGGUAUGGUGUUGCUGUUAUGAUGAUGGAUGGUGGGAGUAUGGUCACAGGGUGUUCAACGGCUUCUUUGAAUGUUUCAGAUAGCGAUAGAAAAAAAUGUUUUGGUAACGGUUGUUGCCAAACUGCAAUUCCUCAUUAUCUCAAGUCAUACAGCAUUAACAUCACCAGCUUGGAAGAAGAAGAAGGAGGUUGUGGGUCUGCCUUCUUGGUUGAUAAAACUUCAUAUGACCAAGGAAGGCUUUCUGACUCACUUAUUGUCCGGAGGAGUGCCUCUUUUAUUCCUAUAUCACUUUUGUGGACGCUAACAGAUUCCGAUCAAGUAACUUGUUGUAAUUCCGACGACACAGAGAGUAGCGAAAGACGCGAAAGACGCCAAGUGGAUAUGUUUAAUGGUAAUCCAGUAUAUACUUGGAGAUGUAACAGCUACUAUGAACGGUCACUCAACCCUUAUUUAAUAGAUGGGUGCAAGAAAGAGUAUGUAGCAAAUCCAAAUUAUGCCAAGCCAGGGUGCAAGCAGAUGUGCGGGAACAUAAGGAUUCCAUACCCUUUUGGAAUCGGUGCGAACUGUUCCAUCAACCCAUGGUACAUCAUUGAUUGCAACUCCUCCAAGCCACAUCUACGCGCACUCAACCACCUCGAAGUCUUGGGUGUCAAUCUGGAAAGUCAAAUACUCAAUGUCAGUAUGCAAAAGAUCUCUUAUUGCCAAAACACAGGUGAGAUUAGAGGCCUCGAUCUUAGAAGUAGCCCAUUCUGGUUUUCCGAAUUACACAAUAAAUUUGUUUUUGAGGGAUGUGGUACUGCUGCUAUGCAUAUAUAUGGAUAAUGGGAGUGUGCUCACAGCAUGCUCAACGACUUGUCGCAGUGUUACACAUAGUGAUAGAAACACUUGCUUUGGAAGCGGUUGUUGCCAAACCCCAAUUCCUAAUUCUCUCAAGUCGUUCAGCAUCAACAUCACUGGCUUGGAUGGGGGAGAUGGUGCUUGUAGGUCUGCCUUCUUGGUAGAGGAUGAAACUUUGUAUGAAAAAGCAAUGUUUUCUGACCCACUUUUUUUCAAGAAUAGCUCUGUUAUUCCGAUAGCACUUAAGUGGACUCUUACAGCCUCCGAUCAAGUAACUUGUUGUUACAACCAGCCUCCACAAAGAGAUAUAAUGGAUAUGAUUAAUGGUUCUACAAUGGAAGCUUGGCGAUGCUAUGAUCAGUGGUCAUCAGAUGGAAACCCUUAUUUAAUAGAUGGUUGCUUUGGGGGUCAAGGAGAUCAUGCGGAAGAGUGCAAAAGGUGCGAAGAUAGCGGAGGUUACUGUCAGCGUGCCAGGAUGUAUGACAUUGAUGGUUCAGAAGUCAGUCAGACAUUCACUUGUCAUCACUAUAAUAAAACUUCCCUGGGUCUAAUACUAGUGGAGAUUUAAGGAAUUUGGGGGGUUUGAGAAGCUAGGGUUUGUGGUUUGGUACGAUUAUUCUUCAUAUAUUGAUUUUUUGGAAAAUCUUGAUGAAUGGGAAGAUUGGUAAAGACUGUUAAUGUGGUGUUUUCGGUUGUGAAGCGAAUCGAUUAAUCGUCUUAAUCAUAUUCCGGUGUAGGUUCGAGUGCUUAUUGAUGUGAGUUUUAUUGAUGAUUUUAUAAUUGUUUUAGGUCAUUUUGAAAUCAUUUGGUUAACCUACAGUUUUUGGUUUAUUUUUAAUUUUUCAUCUUUUAUAUGUUCUUCAUACCGUUUGGAUUUUGUUUGAAGAUUAUUUGUGUGUUUGGAAUGGACGUGAUGAAAUCUUCCAGUUCCGAUUCGGAGGUUUUACAGAGAAAAAGUUGUUCUUUUUAUUAAACCCUUUUGGCUACUCAGAUUUCAGUUGCUAGCGAUGUUUUUUAUUCUUUCAUUUGAAUCAUAUCACCACCACCAUUAAUAUCUGGUACUUCCGGCUGAAUGUUUGUAAAUCUACACAUUCUAGGAAGAAUGAUGAUGAUGGAAUUGAUGAGAAAAAGAUUAUGAAUUGCAAAAGGGUUUUGAAUAAGAAAAGAAAGUAUGCACAGUUUCAUCUGGAUUUGGGUCAGUCUGAUUUUAUGUUUAGAAAUUGUAAGAGUUGUGGGAUGAAGUUUGUGCCUGGAGAUGAAGAUGAUGGGAGGCUGCAUAAAGAGUUUCAUAAGAGUUAUACUCAUGGUAUUGGCUUGAAGGGCUGGCGUAAUGAAAGCGUGCUUGAUACACACUCGUCACAAAAUGGGCGUGUUAUUUUAGUACAGAAUGAUGUUCCUCCUGCUCAUAUUAAAAAGGUUGAGGAGGUUAUUAAGAUGAUGGAGAUGGAACUUGGUGAUGGAUGGAUCUUUCAUAAAGACUGUAAGGUUUAUCUUUAUUAAAAACUAUAUUUGCCAUCUACAACAAGAAAGCCGAGUUGUAUGAAAAGCUGGCAAGGGGAGAAGUAUCUGAUGAGGAAGAUAAGGAGAAAUAUUGUAUUGAUUUUUUCAGUAAGCCUAUGUAAAUGACGAACCACAAAGAUAUAGCCCAUUCUCAAUUGUUGUUCACCCUGAAGAUAAGGUACUUUUACCAUCCAACAUCCCUCUCGGUUUAUGUACGAAUAUGCGUCUACCGAUCUUGAAAGCUUCAGUUCUUGGACAAACUAAUUUUCAUGCCUAUCAUGCUUUGUAAAUGGAGAAAGAGAGGGAAGAAUAUGAAGUGAUAUGCUUAUACAUGCGAAUGCUUGGGUCGGGUUUUGACCUGCUAGGCCAUAUUGUUAUGACCCUCUUCACUUCUCAUGGUGUUUGUUACAUUAUUUAUUGGAUACUCACCCAGCAGACAUCAGAGGUUGUAAAUGGGCUGGUAGUUUGUAAUCAAGUCAUAAACGGGUUGGUUUUUUUUUUUUUUCAAAAAGGAUGAACCAUGGCAAGCGUCUUGGUGCAGUUCCCACACGUUUGAACGACCUUGCAACUUUAGUUGUCGGGACACACGUACCAAAGUUUCGCAACCUUCAUCGCCAACAGAUUAUUUGAAGCCACUGAUAACAGUAACAUAGCAUCAACGACAGUGAUUUACAAAAGGUGUUGUGACCCGUUUUCAACCUGAAUCCAUAUUGGCCCGAAUGAUCCACAGUUAGUUGUUAUUGCAUAUUUCUCGAGCGAAGCUGACCUUUAAACAUAUCGGGGUUUUCGUCAGCCAAAAAACUUUAGCAUUUAGUGGUAGCGUGUGGCUACGGUUGUGCGGUGGCUGAAUCGGGUGGUGAUCGGUGGCUGAUUCAUAGCCGUGAAUGGUGACAUAUAGCUGCCAUUCUGGUCAGUUUUGGGCUGAAGCCAUGAACACAUUUCGCUUAACGGGUCGUGCCUUGACCGGCUUCAUAUCUGUUUGGGGGAGGCUAUAAACUACCAUUAUCUAAACACUCGGGUUGCAUAUUGCUAAGGAAAAUCCCAUGUUAAAAUCUGCUUGUGAGAUGAUAGAAACAACCAUUUUAUCUUUUUUUGUAGGUGUGAGCAUUCAAAAAUCGCUUGAUGAUCUCAGGCUACGCCCAUCACAGGGGCGCAAAGGAAGGGGGUGGUGAUUUUGAAAGGCCAUGGCGUCAGCGAUUUUGCACUUUAGCUUUUGUGUACGCCUCUAAUAAGCAACGAUUUCAGGUCAUAAACACCGAUGAUCAAGCAUUGGCGACUUGCCAUGUUGCUCGCCAAGUUAAAAUAUUAUCAAAACCAACAUCAAUUCUUGUCCCAACAAAGAACAUGCACCAAUUUGAGUGGGUUUAACCUGAUGAAAAAGAAACUGUGAGUCACAGAGGCUCUCGACAACAAGGGAGUGCAUUUUGGGGAUGGUAUGUGUCACUUGUGUAACAAGCGAGAGACGUCGUAUCAUCUUCUUUUCCGGUGUGCAUAUUAUAAAGGCUAUUUUCAUGAAGACGAUGUGGCGUAUUUUGCUGUGUCGGAACGAGAGAAUAUUCAGGGGCAAUAAUCCUUUGGUGCAGAUGGUUGUCGAAAUGAUGAAUAUCGGAUCGUACUGUUGGGGUGCAAAAAGAGGCAAGAAAAACGGGCUGACGCUAGAGAAGUGGAGUAAUUUUGAAGACCUGGUAGUGUGUAGGGAUGUUGACUUGGAAGAUGAACCACAGGAGGAUAUGGCGACAGCAGGAGUUUAAUGUUUGGUCAUCAUGCUCAUAGCAGUCGACAGGGCAUGUCAUAUGGUGCAGACUCUUAAAGACGUAGUGAUGGUGUCAAUAUUUACUCAUCAAGCUAUGGCGACCAUUAUCUCUCUCGUGGUGGUGAUGUUGGUGAAAGUUCUUAGUCAUCAUCAAUGUAUUCGAGUCGGAGCGUGGGCGGCAAUGGUGAAACCGAACUAAAAAUUUAUGGUGGAGAAGGGAAGGAGAAUACUUUAGAGGUUCAAACUGUUAUUUAUGUAUCUUUUAUUAUUGAAAACUAAAUUUUCCUAACCCGGGAUGUUCCCGGGUGAUAGCCUAGUAGAUAUAUAAAGGUGUUAUAUAAAUUUAGGAAGAAAAUCAUAUAAUUUAAGGUGUGAUAAAAUUCA